GAUUCAAUUCAAAGAAACUUAAUUUUCUUUCCGGAAGGAAAGGUGGAGUUAUUACGGUUGAAAAUUUAGUAGUAACGUUUGUUGAGUUUUGGUUGUUUAUAACCGAUUAUUUUGUCCUUGGAGGAUGUAUAAUUUGUAUGUUUGGAUGUAUAUGCUUUUUGUGUGAGUCAGUGAGAGAAGAUUUUUGUUGUAGAGUUUUUUGUUUUGAACGCCUUGUUAGAAAAUCAACAACGUUCAUUCUUUUCAAUAAACAUUUUUGAGAAAGCACUUGAAGCCUGGUCGGCGAUUUUAAUUCCCAGUUUUUUUUAAUUGAAAUGGUACUUUUUCAAUCCUUUGGUGGGAUGUACUGGGAAUUCUCUUAUUGAGGUAUCCGUUGGUGUGCUGGAAAUUUGGGGCACGUAAAGAUUUGUCUUGGAAAAUCCUCUAGAGAUUAAUUCGAUGUUUAUUAAUGGCCAGGCUGAGAGUCGUGUAAUAGACCCUUUUGUAUGUUAAAGGGUGUUCCGGUAUUCAGUAAUUGUAUGUAUUUAUCGAUCCUGAGGCUUUAAAGAAGUAAUAGAAGUACAUUUAUUUACCAGAUUUACAUUUAUUCAGUAUAUUGGAAAUAAUACAUUUGGCAGAUUUAUUUAGAAGUUCGAUAUUUGACGUUUAAUCUUUUGACAUUUUGACAAAAUUUAAGGAAGAUUGCAGUGUGUUUAUCCAGGCAAAUGAUUUUUUUUUUAUUGAAGAAAAUAAGGACGGUAAUAGAUUUUAUUUUAUUUUAUGGGAGAAAACAAGAAAGAACAAGGUACAAUUUAGAUUGGGUUAAGGGGUCUAAAAAGGGGACUAAAAUACAAUGAUUUUUAUAUUUAUGUGAAGGAAACAGCUGGUUCUGGUUUAUUUUUUUUAAUUAAUUACUUACUUUUGUUCUUAUAAACUAUUGAAAUCAAAAUUAAUAUUUGUAUGUAAAAAGGGACUUAAAAUUUUGUUGACAUUAUAUUCUCUAUAGUUA
rnacentral:lncRNA from 1 species